UGCCAUGCAACUCCGAUCCCUACCUCCGAGUGACAACGGCCGGGAUACGAGCAACCUUAGGGAAGAUCGGCUAACCAACCCCGGUGGGAACUUUGGUCUUAUGCUGACAGGGACGG
rnacentral:ribozyme from 1 species